GAGUUUGAUCUUGGCUCAGAACGAACGCUGGCGGCAGGCCUAACACAUGCAAGUCGAACGAUGUAGCAAUACAUAGUGGCGCACGGGUGAGUAACACGUGGGAACGUACCCUUAGGUACGGAAUAACAGCGGGAAACUGCUGCUAAUACCGUAUGAUGUCUUCGGACCAAAGAUUUAUCGCCUAAGGAGCGGCCCGCGUCUGAUUAGCUAGUUGGUGAGGUAAUGGCUCACCAAGGCUACGAUCAGUAGCUGGUCUGAGAGGAUGAUCAGCCACACUGGGACUGAGACACGGCCCAGACUCCUACGGGAGGCAGCAGUGGGGAAUAUUGGACAAUGGGCGAAAGCCUGAUCCAGCCAUGCCGCGUGAGUGAAGAAGGCCUUC
rnacentral:rRNA from 1 species